UACGGAGGGUGCAAGCGUUGUCCGGAUUUAUUGGGUUUAAAGGGUGCGUAGGCGGCCCGAUAAGUCAGUGGUGAAAGCCUCCAGCUCAACUGGAGAACUGCCAUUGAUACUGUCGGGCUUGAGUACAGACGAGGUUGGCGGAAUUGAUUGUGUAGCGGUGAAAUGCAUAGAUACAAUCAAGAACUCCGAUUGCGUAGGCAGCUAACUAGGCUGUAACUGACGCUGAGGCACGAAAGCGUGGGGAGCGAACAGG
rnacentral:rRNA from 1 species